CCCAAAUAGAUCGUUGUCAUUUGAUUGGUGUUUUGUGUCAUGUGAUAUUGAACAUUCCUCCCAUUUGCCAUUUUUCCCCCUAUUAUCGUGCAAUUUUGGUUCCAUACAUUUUGUGCUAUUGCACGGCAUGACCACUGCACGCUCACACUAGCGGCGACGACACUUAUCUUAAAACAAACAUGGCGGGGUUUGUUUUGGUGACAGACGAUGAUUUA